AUUGAACGCUGGCGGAAUGCUUUACACAUGCAAGUCGAACGGCAGCACGGGUGCUUGCACCUGGUGGCGAGUGGCGAACGGGUGAGUAAUAUAUCGGAACGUAUCCAAUAAUGGGGGAUAACUAAUCGAAAGGUUGGCUAAUACCGCAUACGCCCUACGGGGGAAAGCUAGGGACUUUCGGGCCUGGCGUUAAUGGAGCGGCCGAUCUCUGGUUAGCUAGUUGGUGGGGUAAUGGCCUACCAAGGCGACGAUCAGUAGCUGGUCUGAGAGUACGACCAGCCAGACUGGAACUGAGACACGGUCCAGACUCCUACGGGAGGCAGCAGUGGGGAAUUUUGGACAAUGGGCGCAAGCCUGAUCCAGCCAUUCCGCGUGAGUGAAGAAGGCCUUCGGGUUGUAAAGCUCUUUCGCAAGGGAAGAAAACUUAUCCUCUAACAUAGGAUGAGGUUGACGGUACCUUGAUAAGAAGCACCGGCUAACUACGUGCCAGCCGCCGCCGUAAAAC
rnacentral:rRNA from 1 species